GUUAGCUCAGUUGGUUGGAGCCUGGUGCUGGUAAUGCCAAGGUCAUGGGUUUGAUCCCCACAUGAGCCA